UACGUAGGGAGCAAGCGUUGUCCGGAUUUAUUGGGCGUAAAGAGCUCGUAGGCGGUUCCGUAAGUCAGGGGUGAAAAAUCUGGGCUCAACCCAGUGGAGCACCUGAUACUGCGGUGACUCGAGUCCGGUAGGGGAGUGUGGAAUUCCUGGUGUAGCGGUGAAAUGCGCAGAUAUCAGGAGGAACACCGACGGCGAAGGCAGCACUCUGGGCCGGUACUGACGCUGAGGAGCGAAAGCAUGGGGAGCGAACAGG
rnacentral:rRNA from 1 species